UCUACAUGCUAAGCUAGUUGAAUUUUCACACAGCUUAAUUCGCUUCAGCUAGACAAAUCUGACCCUCGUACCUUUUUACAACAAUCUCUGUUUUUAGGAUCUGACAAUCUCAUUUCAUACCUUCGUUUUAACCUUCUUUGAUCAAGAAAAGUUACAAGUCAUACUAGAAUAUCAACAUCUCUCGAUAUCUAGUAACAUCUCAUUCUGAUAUUUUUAAAUUGGAAAACGUUCGCUCAUAUCGUUGAAGAUACUACAGUUUAUCUAACUCUCUUCAGCAGCUUGAUGAUAUUAGCAAAACAGUCAUAUUCUACUCCUUCCAAUGUGCAAUGUGCAGAAUUAUAGCUGUCGAGAUAUUUCUUUUUAUGCAUGUAAAAUUGUUCUACCUAGAAGCAACGAGGGUAUCAUGUUGUUACAAAAUUCUAAUCAACAAAUUUAUGGAAUUGGGGAAGGUAAUGUAUACAGUUACUCUAAUAGUUCUUGUUUCGAUUAAAUAUUUUCGUUUUUUAAUAUGUCGUUUAAUAUCUGUUGAGGCUGUGAAUGUCAUGCAAAAUGUGAUUUACAUUUUGUGACAUAAAAAUGGCGAUAGAGUCUUAUAUUUAACGACGCUACUUAAGAAACUCUCUUUCAUAUUAUUCCUCUGCUUGUCGAGAUGAAUGUUGGAUAAAAAGGGAGUUUCACACAGGAAAUAAAAAUCACCCUCUUUUCUUUUGUUCCAAGUCUCCUUCGUUCUGUAAUUUGCAGCUGUUCUAUUCUACUUGCCCCAUGAAGAAUAUUAUCGUGGAUAUGUAGUUCAUCUUGGACCAUUCAUCGUUUUCCUGUUUCAUUUUUUUCCUUACGCUUAUCGUUUACGAGAAAAACGCUGAGAAGAAAUAGCAUAAAUGCCCUACACAUAGAAUUCGAAUGGCUUCUAACAAAAAUUGCCAAGAAACCAAAAUUUCCAUCGAUAUCUCGAAAAUGUACACAAAGACGUAAUUUUAACAAUUUUUACGUACUCCAUAAGCAUCUCAGGUGCUGUAAAAAAAUUUGCAAUUAUCGAGCUCCAGUACUAUUUUCAGAUAAGUACGUACUUUCUCCAGCGUGGGAAAUUAGUGAAAAACUCGACGACCUUGUAACCGGUUCAUCUCGCUUGUCCUAACCCUGAUUUAAUCAAGCUUACACCGCCAUUACAAUAUUAAGUAGAUUGGAUCGCUUGCAAUGAUAUCAUAAUGAUAACGCACGGUCCUUUCACUUUGACACUCUCUCGUACGACAAUUGCUUCAUCCGCUCGUAUUGGCUAGCCGAGUUAAACAGUUGCCUCGACCAGACGCAAUGGCGUUAUUUUAAUCUCUAUACUUUUUUAAAAAUCCUGGUCAUUCCAUUUUUUCUUAUUCCCGUAAUUAGUUGCUGUCGUUGGUAGAAGAUCAUAUGUAUCUUGUUUCUAUCUUUGUCAUAUUCUUUAAUUGAUACGUAUGAAUUUGUUGAUAUUAGACCUUGGUCUUAAAUCAAAUGGCCGAUUUUCGCUAACGAACGAAAUGAUUGCAAUUUAAUUCCAAGAAGCGGAUAAAAAUAAAGUAAAAAAUACUACAAUAUAUUCUACACCAAUAAUCUUAAAUCUUGGCAUAUCUUAGGACAUUAAUAAAAAAAAAAACAAAAAAAUAACAAUAAGAAACUGCUAAAAAUAACUGGAAAGUAUACUAUGAUACUAUACACAUUCUCGUCGAUAUCCAUACUCGAAACUUUAAUCAAUAUAAUGCACCAAAGUAAGAAUUCCACUCAAGAAUCAGUGCUGCCAGUCCAAGUAAUAUCUCGAACAUUUUGUGCGUUCAAUUUCUCACAAAACUAUAAUAAAGCGUAGUAGUAAUCUCGCGAAGGAGGUGUCGCGAUGCUCGAGAGCGUCUUCAUUCGUCGUUUCAAAUAUAUAUGUCUCUUUCCCUUCGUAUCAUUUCCUGUGCCUGUCUCAUGGCACGAAUUGUAUUAUGAAACACGCGAAGACACACAGCUCUGGGCAGAAAUCCGAACAAUUUCCUUUCCUUCUUUGCGGUCGAUGGUACCGAGCGCUUUUCGAUCGAGCACACGCUGCGACACCGUUGCCACAUUUCGUCCGAAGAUGUCCGAGUAAUCUGCACAGAUUCAAUCUCGACGAUAAUACGUCCAAAACUUCGACUCGAAACGUAGCCCCUUCGCGGCACAGUUUACUGUUUCCAGUCCCACACAUCGGACCUAUAGCGUCGAUAUAUACAGCAAAUCGUGCAAUUGAGAAAGACAAUGGUCAUCCAAAUAAGUUGUAUUUUGAAUUUAAUUUUUUAAAGGCUACGUUUGUGUUAAUACGACAAUUUAUUUGCAAUCUUUGUUUCAAUUAAUAUACAUGAUAUUAUGAAAUUCCGUUUUUAACGUUCCAUUAUAUUGUGAAAGAGAAUUGGCUAAGAAUUUACUUCUUAGUUCUUAGCACCUUGUCCUCCAUCGUUUUCUCUUACAUCUAAUCUUCCUUAGAGAUAUCAGUGCUUCCUCAAGAGUCCACGCAGUUAUAUUUAGUCAGAAAUUUUUAGUAAUGUGACUGUGUUGCCAUACUACGUACAAGUAAAUUACUGUAUUCUACUUACAAUUUUCUAUUAUAUGAAAAAGAAACAAAAUUGGACAAGACUGAUAAUCUAAAGCGAACCAAAUUAAUUCUUAACUAAAUUACGAGACUUCCUCAAGCACGUUCGUCGAGUAUUCGUCAAACACCUCGCCGUGCCAAUCGAAACUCGACGUCUCGUCGAAUUAACAUUUCUCGGAAGCUUUGAAUACAAUUUCACGAGAAAAUGUUGCAAUAUUCUAACGAAGAAUACAUCUCAGCUUGACGUAUAGUUCCAUCUAAAGAGUUAAAGACGACGUUCCGUUUUAUCGAAUCCCUUCAGAGAAAUGUACAAAGAGAAUCUUCCCAUGCAACUUUUUCCCUUCGUCGCCUUUCAUACGUUCAUAUGCAUAUGUACGAAGAUAUUAAGAUGCCAGUUGUUAAAGAAGCAUCGCGUAUUAUAUGCAUUUUAUGGUAGAUUCAGAUUCACCGAUAUUUGGCCAUUACGAUUUCUUCAAGCAAAUGACUUUGUGCUUUGAAUUUAGCACUUGGAACAUAUUGGCGCGAUACACAUCCAUAUUUAACGCUAAUAUAUAUGUCUAUUUGUGUGCAUACACGCAGUUAAGCGUUUCUUACGUAACUAUGCACGAUUGGGAAGUUCGUCUCAUUUUUACUCAGUUGUAAGGCUUGAAGUGUUGUUCCAUCGAGCAGAGUAUCAGGUUUCCUGCUUCCCCUUUUUCUUUUCCCCUCUUCUUGUAAGAGUUUUCUAUGAAAGCACCGAUAUCACGGGCACUUGUCGUUAUCUCCUUUAUAAUUAAAGUUCUUCCGUAAUUUUCCAGAAAAAUUCACGACGCUGAAGAUAUUGAGCCGUGCAACCUCUGUGCCAAGCCGAAACUUUCGUUUGGUCGUUAAUCCCUUGAAACAUGUAAAAUUCAGGUUGAAGGGACCUCGAGGAAAAAAAGCGUCAGGAUUUAGAGGGGAUCGCGCGAGAGUGGUAAUACGAUAUACGUUAAACGGAAGUAUUAUUUUCUAUACGAUCGCAAUAUGUUCGUGAUAUAAACGUGACGGAUAAAAUAAGCUAUUGAAUUUGAGAAAUUUCUUUUUCGAAAUAUUAUUCGCUUACGAAAUAUUCUCCUAAUUUGUAAAUAUUUUCUGCGCGCCGGAGAAAGGCUUUCGAAAAUGUAUUCUUUAAUUGCAUUACAUUCGCGAAUAAUAGUUAUAUAUUAUAUUUACGGGAGAAAAAUAAAAAUCCAUUGUGAAAGAUAUACUGCACCCGUAAAACGUAAAGUAACAAUUCAAUUAUAUACAAUAAAAAUUUUUUUUUAAUUUUUUUUUUUUUUUUGAAAUUUUUUCAUCGAGACAACGAUCUACAGUGAGAUCGGUUAUAACGUACCGCACGCGUACCGAGCGAAAAUUCAAAGUCGAUUUUCUCGAAAACAAAGCCUCGAACGAAACAUUUUUAUUGUAUAUUUGCGACUUCUUUUUUCGCGUAGAAUCACCCCCUUUCCGCUUGUACCACCAGUUACCAACCACCCUGUAUAUAUUGAAGUAAUAAUUUCAAGCUGAUUCUUCUAGUAUCGUUAUUGUAUCUUCCGCUUUUUGCUUCGAGUCUUAAACGAAGAUUAAAGAUUAAACUCACUAGGAUACUAAACUGUCCACUGAAUAUCCUUGCAACAUUCAUCAGCAUUGUUAUACCUACAAUGCCCUAGUAUAUCACACUUGCAAACCUGGAAAAUUUAGUUUAAUCCUCUAUAACCCAGAAUUUUGUAUAUUCAAUAGAAAGAAGGAUAGUAAUUGUUAUAAAUAAACCAUUUGACAUCGAUGUUGAACUAUAUCAAUGAAAUAAAAUAGUUUCGAGUAUAAACAGUUGAAAUAAAAUAUGAACGCGUGGAUAUCGAAUCUUCCAGUUAUUGUAUUCCAUAAUGUUAUAAAAUAUUAAUGCAUCCUAAGACUCAUAACUAACAAAAAAUUUGAGUCUAAUCUUUAAACUACAUCGCAAAAGAUUAGUUCGUUCUAAAAAUUAUAAAUAGAAGAGAAGCUUCCAUAUAUCAUUGCCAAUAAAAAAUUUGAAACACCGAUGGAAUUACACAUGGUACAAGUAAUCGGUAGCCGGACAAGCCACGUUAACAGACAACUACAUGGUCAUCUCUCUUCACCAUCCUGUGCAGCGAUCGCGUCCAAUUAAUCGCGGAACAAAACACGGCCAAAUAGUCCAAUUAACGCGUUCAAUUAAUCGAACGACUAAACGCAAAACUAUUCAGCCUCCUGGUCGUUCGAACGAAUGGUUUCGGUAAACACGAUUGUACGCGCGAGACAGGACAGUCACAAGAAUUUGCCAGGCAAACGAACAAUUGCACAGAGAAGAUAUCGUUGGUUUUCGAUGUUGACGCACGAAAAGACAAGCUGGCGAUGAAUUCGAGGCCGAGAAAGAUAAAAAACAUAGUCGAUUUGUUUCUCUUUUACCGGCGAUCGAUCAUUACUAUCGACAUCCUAAUAGUGAGCUUGGACACCGAGCAGCACCGUCGGAUGUUUCUUUUUGGCGUUGUAAUUUACGAAGCACUAGCAUGGGAAUAAAGUUGUGGUCGUCGAGACAAGGAAUUGUCUGUGAUCAACAGGCAGUAAGAAGCAUACAUUCCUGCUCGUAGUAGCCUUGCUGAUAUUAUACAAAUUGUGAUAUUUGUAGAGAUUUAUAAGAAAACGAUUAAUCAGUUGAAUACAUUUACGAAAGAAUAUUCAGAAAAGUCUGCAAAAUAUUUCAUUCUGAGGAAAGAAAAUGGAAGUUCAAUGGACUAUCCAUCUUGAUCUCUCUCAUAACAAUGAUCACUGUAAUGAAACACAGUGGAUUUGGAGGAAUUCCAGCAUUGAAAAUCUUAAACCUUGCGAACAAUAUAUUAACUGGCAUGGAUACAAAGGUCUUCGAAUUUGACCAUUAUGUGGACGUGCAGCAAAAAUAAUUUUUGGUAUCAUGUGUUAUGUAUAGACUUUGUAGAAUGUAGAAAUUGGUGCAAUAAAGAAAUAUGACGUAUAAAUACGUCGAGCGUAAAAAAGCUAUAUAAUGAUGCGAUUGCUCAGACCAUAAGAAGUUUACAUCGGGUAGUUAGAAGUUUUUUUUAUAGUUCUUAGAAAUGAGCUGGCUGAACUUCCAGGCUCGAAAGCCUUCAACCUCCGCUCAAGCAUGGCAGAGAUAUUAUAUAUAGUACUAUCGCAGAUGAUAAGUCAUUAAACCCAAAUGCUAAGGUAGUUCAACUCCUACACAGCUUAACUCGCUUCAGCUAGUCAAAUCUGACUCUCGUUCUUUUUUAUAACAAUUUCUGUUUUUAGCCUCUUACAAUCUCGCCCCCUACUUCCGUUUUAAGCUUCUUUAAUCAGGAAAAGUUAGAAGUUAUAUUAGAAUGUUAACGUGUCUCUAACAAGUCGCCUAAUAUCUGUUCAAACGACAUAGACUAUCGAUGUUCGUAUAAAGUAUACGUUUACAUUUUGUGACAUAAAAGUGACGAUACCGUCGCUGUGUAUUUAACGAGGCUGCUUAAGAAUCUCCCUUUUAUAUUACUCCUGGGCUCGUCCAGAUGAAUUUUAGAUGAAAGAAGGUUUAACAGGGAGAGAUCAGAGGAGAUAGAAAUCCCGCUUCUACGUUUUUUCCCAAAUCUUCUUCAUUUUCUAAUUUGCGACCAUUCUUACCUACCAACGGUACAUCCAUAAAAACCUGCGUGUAUCUACCUAUAUGUGUAUUCAUUCCGUUGCAGAGAUUGCACCGUAAUAUUUCAGGCUUUAUUGUCCUGUCAUAUCGCUGUACUCCUGGGAAAACAUUAUAGUAUUUCAGGACGAAUAUCGGCAAGCUAUCGUAUCGAUGGUUCUGUUCUAGCGAAGGACUUUAAUAGCUUCACGUAAAGAAGAGAGUUCGUAUUAGCUUCUGGCAAAUAAAAUUCAGAUUCGUCGUUAUCGAUGGAGAAAUUAUUACUUACUAGUUUAGCGUUAUGUAGUGAAGCUACAGAAUCCAAGUACAAGAUAUGAGAUUAUUCAAAAAGUUAGUAACGAACUUUGAGCACAAUUUGAAACAAAUGUAUUUUUAUCGCAUACACAUUUUAUCGACCGAAAUAUACGUAGUAUUUCUUUUAAAUAUGGAUGAAAUUUGUGCAAAGGGAAGUCCUCUAGCAAUAUUUUCAAAAUCUACCACGGAACAUGUCAAUUGUGAAAAACACUACGAAUUUUCUUAUCAACCCAUUACAUAUACAUACGAAGUACCUAAAGAAAGGUAGUAUAUAUAUUGUAAAUAUUUAUUGGAUGGAACGAAUGUCUGUUUUUAGUUGUAUUAAAUAUAGCCUCAUUGCAUUAACUAUGACAUGUAUAUAGUGAACAGAGAAUUGGGAUUUCGUGUACACAAAGAAUAGUCGAUCUCGCUCAGUUUAAGAUGGCGAGACAAAGAGAGUGGUGAGACGCGUGUAAAUGUGUAUCGACGAAUAUCUUGUCAAUCACAUAUCAAAUGAAUCUGAAAUUACUUUGAUAUCAAUUCUAAGUGUAAUGUAAGUGUAGCUAUACAUUUAUUUCGGUGAUCAAUACCCACAGUUCUCAACAGUUAUAAAUCUUAGAAAGAAAUAUUUGGAAAGUUAGGGUUAGGUUGGGUAAAGUUGGUUCCUUCUGUCGCCGUGUGUAUUAUUUUUCCUUGGUUAUUUUUAUUAGACACUGGAUUGAAACGAAGCAGCUCUCGGGGAAACUUAAAUUGGUUGAAGGAUUUCUCUAACGAACAGGGGAUGCGACUUGAAACGUCAAUCGAUUGAUUUUAUCGGUCGAUUCAGGUCCUCUAAGCCGGCUAAAAAGUAUCGUUCACGAUAUCCACGGGAUUGGCCGGUGAAGCACGGGUUUGAUUUAAUUGACUUAGCCGAUAACGUUGACGUCGUCAAGAGCAUACAUUCCUGUUUGUAAAUAUUGGAACAUUUGCUGAUCUCAUAUAAAGUGUAAUACAUGAUCGUUUCAUACAGAUUAUGAAGGAAACGUUGAAUUGGUUGGAAUUAUAUUUCCAUGGAAGAUUACGAUUUAAAAUACGCAAAAAGGUUCGUAAUAUUACACAGACAUAAUACUUAAUAUUAUAUUAUAUUAUUAAUUAUAUUAUAAUAUCGCUAUUAUAUUAAAUAAUAUUUAUAUAUAAUUGUAUUAGUGAUAUCUACUAUCUCCUUUGAGCUUUGGUUUUGAAACCUCACUGAGGAAAUUUUUAAUGAGACGCAUAGAAAGUUCAAAUAAGUCUGUAGAAAUUCUGAAUCUGGUUGAAAAUUAGUCAAGUAUAAAACUAUAAUGGCAAAGUAUGAAUCGGUCAUAAGCAAAUGUUAAAUGUAACUGGAAUCGCAAAGAAUGAAUAGCAGAACCACUGAAAGCUAAAGUAUGAAAUGUGUAUCUAUCAAAGAAACAAGAAAUGAAGGUUACAGUGAUUUUAACGAAGUAGAACAUAGUACUAUAAAGUGUGAAAUCUGUUAAAGGAAGAAAGAAGAAAGAAAAAAAUAUUACAAAAAUUCUAAAAUUUACUAUCUUGAGGUCGUACAGUAUUUUGUAUCUAUGAAUGUUUGAUUAACUAAAUUAGUAAACCAGGAAAUAAACCAGUUGCCCGAUCUGGAUUAACAGGAAGGUAACAAAACCGGUAUCGAUUCGAGGUUAGUUAUCUGGUUAUUAUUGGGUUGGCAACUAAGUGAUUGCGGAAUUUGUCAUUACCACCUAAUGACAAAAGCCGCAAUCACUUACUUGCCAACCCAAUAAUACACUACGAUCACUCGACUAGAAAGUUCACUGUUCGCUUGGUAAAAAAGUGAAACAAGUCCGCGUAUCGGGUUACAUUUUCAUACGAUAUGUGUACUACAUCGCGAAAGUCGGCCAUGUUGCUUCGUUCUACUGCGUUUCAUUGAAAUUCCCACUCAUGAAGGUGUUCCAGCUGAAAACGAAGCAAAAGGCGAAAGGAUAGGAAGAUACUGGAAAAGAAGAAUUUUAAUUUUUCCAAUAGAAAGUUGAAGAUAAAUGGAAAUCCAUGGAACCUGAUAUUUAAUGUUAAAAAAAAAUGUCAUAUCAAGUAGUCCGAUGCUUAUGGGCCGCCGUUAUACUAAAUUAGAUAUAAUCAGGUGAACAGACAAUAUUCAAAGAAAGGAAAAACGUAUGUAUACGAGACACGAAUAUAAAAGAUAUCCGGUUACACCGACAUACACAUGUACAAAAAACUAUAGAAAACGAAUGGAAUACAUUGGCGUGUGUGCGUGUGCAGAAAGCAGGACGCGUAUCGAUAAAUACGUGCGCGAACACACAUGUAUAGACACAGAAAGGCCGAAGGGUAAAUAGGCAAACACACGCACACACGUAAAUACACAUAGGCGCGGAAGCAAGCAAAGCGCUAUUAUGAAAUCCAUUGAACAUAAUAUUGGUAAAUUAUGGGUUUCCAUUUGCAGUGGAGCAAACAGGUCGAAUUGGACAAAUGUCGUAAAGGACUAUGCCAUUGCUGCAGCAAGGAAUCGAUCAGACGACGCGACGUUACGACACGCGUAAAAUAGUCAAGUUCAAACGGUGGAAAAUCGUGGAAACUUGUCCGUAGAUGUAGAGCAAUGCCAAGUUAGACAAACCCCCAUAGUCCUUAUAAUUGGACGAACAAAACGAAAUUCCUAUGGAAUUACACAAAUGUUUUACGGCUGAAAUGGCUUUUUGUCCUUUCUCUUGUUUCACGAUGGGCGUCGCGUCAAAUUUCGUGCCGCAUUUUUCUCUGCUGACAUUUGUUCCCUUAGCGCGUCAGAGCACGCGCGUGAAAUAUCUUUUUUAAGGAAAGAAUGGAAAAUGUAAAACAGAGGGGGACGUGUCUGGUGUUCGGUUACGAUAAAUCACCGUAAGAAAAAAGAAGGGAAAUUAUAUAAGGUUUCUCUGCAACGGAAUUUCGAUUUUACUGAAUUUUUAUUCCCACAGAUAGAUAGGUGCUCCGUACUGUAAUUCAUCGUAACGAUAAUUAUUUAUCAUUCAGUAGAUUUAGUAAAUUACAAUUUAAUUGAUUGCAGUAUGGCAAGGGUGCAAUGACUGAUAGCGGUCGAGUGUUAUUUUUACGAGCAAAACGAUGAAGUUUCAACUAUAUUCUCGAUAUACAGUGGCACACGAAAGUAUUCGAACGCUUACAUAUGCAAACUUGAAUGACCGAAAUAAUGUACAUUAAAGUAAUUUGCUUAGACAAGCAGAUGUCAGUAGGAAGAUGGAAGUUUUGAGGUUAUGUCAGUAAAAUUUGAAAAGGAUUCAACAACGUAGCCCAUAAAUUUUCAAUCGGAUUUAUGUCUGGACUUUGCGUAGUAAUUAGCAUGUGUGGUGUGUGUUAUAUACGAUCCAUUCUUUCGCAAUUCUAGCAGUAUGCUUAGGAUCAUUACCUUGUUGGAAGUGGAAAUCUUCCAAUAAUCCUAAUCUACGGGUACUUUCUUUAAGGUUAUUUUUUAAAAUAUUUAAAAAUAUUUAAAAGUCAGUCUUUUUUUAUGAUUUACCGCAUUAAUGUAUGGCUUGUUUCGCAGUACUCUGCCUUGGAAAUCAUUGUUUCGUAAGAUUCGUCGACAUAAUUCCGGGUGAAGUUCUUUAUGAAACAUAUCAGCUACCAUAAUUGCGAGUCGAGGAGCGGAUGCAGUAGGAUUUUUUUUAAUUCGCGAACGAUAACUUUCUCCUCUGUUCCAGACAAUUUCUUUGGUCGACCUGAUCGAGCUUUGUUUGCAAGUGUUUUCUCAUUCUUUCACUUUUUUAUGAUAUAAUAUAUCGUGGACACACUUCUGUUCACAAUUCUGACAAUCUCGUUAUAUGAUCUGCCGUCCUCCUGUAAUCGGAUAUUAUUUCUCUUUCACACUUUUUUGUUUCAGACUUUUUGGUAUUCUUUUUAAAUACUAUUGUGCACACUUUUACGUUACUGUUACUGAAGCGACAUCAUAACAUCAAGUGAACGUACCAAUAUUUUCAUUUAGCAAUAAUGUUUACAUUCGGUGCAAAGCAAGAUGAGAAACUAUCAGCAGUGUUACAGCGUUCGAAUUCUUCUGUGAGACAUUUAUCAUGAAUGUUUCUAAUAAAUGUAUCGUAACUCCUAUCCAUAUUAUUGAAUCGUUUUCAAAUUUUACUGAUGUAAUCUUGACACUUUUCCAUCACUAUGGAUACCAAAUUGUUUUAACAAAUUAGUUUAGUACACCUUAUUUUAUUAAUUGAAAUUUGUAUAAGUGUAAGCUUUUGAAUAUUUUCGUCAAUCACUGUAUAUUGUUUCACCUCUUUUAUUCUAUUUCUUUUACUUCGACCAUCUUUCAUCUGGAACU